rnacentral:rRNA from 1 species
UACAGAGGAGCCAAGCGUUGUCCGGAGUUACUGGGCGUAAAGAGUGCGUAGGUGGUGCCCUAAGUCUGUUGUGAAAUCUCCCGGCUUAACUGGGAGGGUGCGGUGGAAACUGGGGUGCUUGAGUGUGGGAGAGGUAAGCGGAAUUCCUGGUGUAGCGGUGAAAUGCGUAGAUAUCAGGAGGAACACCGGUGGUGUAGACGGCUUACUGGACCACGACUGACACUGAGGCACGAAAGCGUGGGUAGCAAACAGG